CAGAAGAUGACGGAGCGGAGCCGCUGCCACUGCUGCGUGAGGUAACUGGGAUGGAUCUGCGCAAAGAACACGGCCAGGAUCAUGCCGAGCACGGUGAUCAGUGUUUGUGAAAUGACUUACCUGGAAGCAGAAAAGACAAAUAGAACAAAUUACAAAAUCUUCUCUGGAUGCACUUGCCGAAGGUCCCAUAGUUGUUAAGUGGCAAAUCUGGAUGCUCAAGUUUUAGACUCAACAGCCCAGGAUCUAAAGCACUGGAUUUCAUUUCUCCAUUCAUAAGAUUUGGAUUCUAAUAAGAAUGCAGAGGCUCGCU